rnacentral:rRNA from 1 species
CAAUAGCGUAUAUUAAAGUUGUUGCAGUUAAAAAGCUCGUAGUUGGAUUUCUGGUAGGAGUGACCGUUCCGAACUUGAUUGUUCGUGUAUUGUGUUUUCUCCAGCCAUCCUUGUGGAGAACUUUUCUUGCAUUAAUUUGUAGGGAUUGGGACCCGCAUCGUUUACUGUGAAAAAAUUAGAGUGUUUAAAGCAGGCAAUCGCUUGAAUACAUUAGCAUGGAAUAAUAAGAUAGGACUUUGGUACUAUUUUGUUGGUUUGCAUACCAAAUUAAUGAUCAACAGGAACAGUUUGAGGAUAUUCGUAUGAACAUGUCAGAGGUGAAAUUCUUGGAUUUUGAUCAGACGAACUACUGCGAAAGCACUUAUCAAGGAUGUUUUCAUUAA